ACCCCUCUCUGUCUCAUUUCUUUGUCUGUCUAUCUGUCUGUCCCUCUCUCUGUCUCUCUCUGUCUCUCUCUCCUCUCUCGGUGCUCCAUCGCCGCUCUUCUUCGUGGUCGCUGCUAGUCUUCCUCCUUCGCUACUGCUGCGUCAUCGUCAUCGGCCACCCUCGGUGGUUUCAAGAUCCAAAUCGUCUCUCUUUUAUCUCUAUCUGUCUUGUCCCCCCGUUCCCAACACCACCAUCCUCUGCCGUCUCUUCUCAUCCUCCCUGUUACCACUAUUCUCCAUCGCUUUCUCCCUAAGACUGAUGAUGAAUACGAAGCAUGUCGAGAUCUCCAAGAUCAGAGAUCGAUUUACUAAUGACGAGACCAAAGAUCGAUCCAUCUAUGGCUGCGAGAUCUAGUGGGGGCUCUUUCGUAGAUCUAGCUUGUUUCUUUUUCAAUCCGACCAUCUAUGGCUUCGAAAUCUGAUACAACGACUCUCUCUCUCUCUCUUUGGUUUUGAGAUCUGAGACUUUUUUCUCCAUCUAUCGACUUUGUUCAGAGCUUUGAGCACUCGAGGUACGUUUCAUUUUUGUUUUCUCAGUGUUUAGAUCAAUUCUUUGAGUUCUUUUUCAUCUAAUUUGACGCUGUUUCUAUUUGAGUUGUGUGGGGAUGUAUUUAAGGUCGUGCCACGUGGCCGAGGUACCGUCGAGGUGUUAGCCGAUUUGCCACAUAGACGAGCCAAUUUGCUGAGGACGUUGCGGUGUUGCCGAGAUGUGGUGCGGUAAUACCAAAAUUCGAGAUAUUUUGAUAGAUGACAAAAGUCCUAGAUAAGUGAUGUGCUUAGAUCGGAUAAGGAUGAGGCUUUUGAGGAGUUCAUCCAUAUCUAACUAAGAGUUCGAGAUAAGCAUUGUAUUUGAGUCUUAUGAAGUGAGACUUCUAGGGGACGAGGGUAUUGCUGGCUAUAAAAGUAAGGCAUUCCCGUUAGUUGUGCAUUGUUCACUUGUUUGAUAUCUUUGAGAGAUUGUUUGACUAACUUGAUCGUCGGAGUGCAUCUGGGUGGACAAGCCACCACGAUAUUUCUCAAUGUCUUGUGUGCAGGUGUUCGGCUUAAUCUAUUCUGCUAAGUGCUCUCCAGCUAAGUUCCUUAGAUCUCGGCAAAGGGAUCUAUUUGGUUGUGAGGAGGGAGGUCUAACUGCAAAGAUGGCGUAGUGGGAGCUAACUGUGCAAGACCAUGAUCAGUGAUUGUAGAAGGACAUUUCGAUGGUUAGAAGCCCACUUCGACUGUUAUCUUUAGAAAGUAUAAAUAGAAGAGAACGUCAUCAGAAGGAGGACCCAGACUCAGAUCCAGAAACUAAUCAUUUACUUCAUAUUUUAUUUCCAGUUUUACAUUCCCAGUUCUUUACAUUUCCAGUUCUUCAAUUCUUGUACUACACUUCAUUUUCUAGGAGUAGUUUCAAGUAGUUGCUGCUAUAAACCUUUUCAAGGCUGGGUCAUUUCAUUGUAAGUUCUUAUUUACUUAAUGAAAUUUAGUUUUUGAACUA